rnacentral:rRNA from 1 species
AGUGGCGGACGGGUGAGUAACGCGUAAGAAUCUAACUUCAGGACGGGGACAACAGUUGGAAACGACUGCUAAUACCCGAUGUGCCGCAAGGUGAAACCUAAUUGGCCUGAAGAAGAGCUUGCGUCUGAUUAGCUAGUUGGUGGGGUAAAGGCCUACCAAGGCGACGAUCAGUAGCUGGUCUGAGAGGAUGAGCAGCCACACUGGGACUGAGACACGGCCCAGACUCCUACGGGAGGCAGCAGUGGGGAAUUUUCCGCAAUGGGCGAAAGCCUGACGGAGCAACGCCGCGUGAGGGAGGAAGGUCUUUGGAUUGUAAACCUCUUUUCUCAAGGAAGAAGUUCUGACGGUACUUGAGGAAUCAGCCUCGGCUAACUCCGUGCCAGCAGCCGCGGUAAUACGGGGGAGGCAAGCGUUAUCCGGAAUUAUUGGGCGUAAAGCGUCCGCAGGUGGUCAGCCAAGUCUGCCGUCAAAUCAGGUCGCUUAACGACCUAAAGGCGGUGGAAACUGGCAGACUAGAGGGCAGUAGGGGUAGCAGGAAUUCCCAGUGUAGCGGUGAAAUGCGUAGAGAUUGGGAAGAACAUCGGUGGCGAAAGCGUGCUACUGGGCUGUAUCUGACACUCAGGGACGAAAGCUAGGGGAGCGAAAGGGAUUAGAUACCCCUGUAGUCCUAGCCGUAAACGAUGGAUACUAGGCGUGGCUU